CCUACGGGUGGCAGCAGUGAGGAAUAUUGGUCAAUGGGCGAGAGCCUGAACCAGCCAAGUCGCGUGAGGGAAGACGGUCCUAUGGAUUGUAAACCUCUUUUGUCGGGGAGCAAAAAGGCCUCGUGGAGCCACAAGUGAGAGUACCCGAAGAAAAAGCAUCGGCAAACUCCGUGCCAGCAGCCGCGGUAAUACGGAGGAGGUGAGCGUAAUUCGGAUUUAUGGGGUUUAAAGGGUGCGUAGGCGGACUGGAAAGUCAGCGGUAAAAUCGGGCGGCUCAACAUAUAUCCGCCGUUGAAACUGUCGGUCUUGAGUGGGCGAGAAGUAUGCGGAAUGCGUGGUGUAGCGGUGAAAUGCAUAGAUAUCACGCAGAACUCCGAUUGCGAAGGCAGCAUACCGGCGCCCGACUGACGCUGAGACACGAAAGCGUGGGUAUCGAACAGGAUUAGAUACCCUUGUAGUC
rnacentral:rRNA from 1 species